AUUUUUAAAUUUGUUAUAGCUUUUACUUGUACUUCUAAGUAUACUGGUGUAUGAGCAUUUUCUUGUGCCAACUGUUGCUAUAAGAUAUAUACAAACCCAUCUUCUGUUGUCACAUAAGCAUAUGUUACUGGAUCAUUGUAUACAUUGUUCCACCCACCAAGACUCAGAUUAAUGAAUUUCCCUUCAAUAAAUUUAUUCCACUACUUC